GACGCAGCUUCCGAACAAACCACAUUCUCCAGGUAUUUCGGCCUCACCCACACCCAAUUCAAAAUUCUCCAGCCCACCGUUACGAUUGUAACGACCACAAGAAUGAAGAUCGCAGCCACUGAUACUUCCAUUUCUCGCAGACACAAGACUUCCAGGUGUUGGAGAAGAGUAGAAAGGAUUGGAGCUUUGGAGGUGUAUUAAUCCUUGCUCCCUCAGCCGCCUGUUUGUCUAUUUAAUUAUCAUUGACUACCAAACCACAUAAAAGAAUUCUUACCAUACUUCUCCAGAGUGUGAUGGACGAUGGGGACGACGCGAGGCGAAAUAUCAUCAGAGAAAUUUAUGGGUUUAGAAUUUGCUUGCUUUGACAUCAUGGAGCUUUCCUUCAAGUCUCCGAAGAAAAUUCGAUAGGGAUUGCCUGCAACCCAUCUUGGUCAAAAUAUCUUUUAUUUGUUCCGGGUCCAUAAUAAACACUCUCGGUCUUGGGCGAAGCUUUUUU
rnacentral:lncRNA from 1 species